AGAAGAAAGAGAAGAAAACAAAGGACAAAAAGAAAAGAAAAAAGAGAGGUCUCAAUUUGAGAGAAAUGUUUCUC
rnacentral:ribozyme from 1 species